AUUCCCCAGGACAGGGACCCACAGCUGCCAACGUCCCCCAGAAACCGCUCGCGGAGAAAGUUCACGCGCCUGCUCAGAGCCAGCCUGCGGUCCUACCUUCCUCCUCCUCCAGCAGGUCGGGGUCGCCCAUCUUUGCCAGCUCCUUGAGCAAGACACAGCGGGAGGCAGACCACUGAAGAGAGGCUGAGGGAUGACUUGGGGCGGAGGCUGAAGGGCCUGUUUUCCGUCUCCAUCUCCUGUAUUCAAGUGGAGCUCUCUCUCUCUUCGAAGUGCGAGAAAACUGAGUCCAAACCCAGGGACACCCGGAAAACCAGAGACACUGUAGGUACUAAGGACACCCGGGGAGCCAGGUAUUAUCGAGGAGCCAGGGACGAACGGGGUUCCGCGACGAGCGGCUCUAAGAUAAAGAUUUGAUGUGGAUUCACAGUCUGGACUUCCUCUCCAGGUGGUACUUGGCCUGACUCUUGCGGAGGUCCCGCAGACUGUUAGGGAUGCCCUUGUGCUUCACUACCCAUGAGCGAUAGCGCCGUGGUAUGGUCCCUUCCAUGUGGGGCUCUAAGUACUCCUCCCGGUCCUGGCUAGGUUGGCCUGAAUAGCUUUCUUGAUCCUGUUGCCCCCCUAUCCUUGGUCCUCCAGUUGACGCUGGCGAUUCCUCUGCUUCCCUUUUGGCCUUUCUGGUACCUUGCCCUUAGGGACCACCAAUUUGCUGAUCUCUCUGGAUAGCCCAGAGUGCUUCUCAGUUUCUGCCUCCUGGACUCUCAGCAUCUCCAUCCUCCUUCCUUCCUCCUCCAGAUUUCCACCUGGUCCUCUUCAGAGAUGCUCUCCAUGCUCACAUCCCUAGAGACUCCAGGGUUUUCCACCCUUCUAGCUCCCUCCGGGACCUUCAACACGAACAAGUCUACAUCCGGGGCGACUUCAGAUCCCUCUACCUAUCUUGCCUCCUCAGGGACCCACACCACAUCUCCAUCUUUUGGGACUCCUGGUCCCUCUAUCCUUCCAGCUUCCCUGGGGACCCCAGCCCUGGUGGACUCCUGGGAUUCUCCAGGCUCCCUUCCCUCUAGAUCCUCUUCCUCAAUCCUCAAACGCCUUGUAGCUAGCUUCCUGUUUCAAUUGGUCCACCGACCCAUCUCACAUCCCCUCUGAUGGGCAGCCUUGGCCUGGCCUACUAGUAACACUGGUUCCCCUAGAAACAGGCUAAGGCAAAACGUUCUUAACAGUUGGGGAUUAUUUUCUGUCGGGUGAGAAAAAAAAUCACUUCCCUUAAAGCAUCUCACUCCUUUUAAGGCACGAGUGUGACGUCUUCUCCAAUUUUCCAGAAGACUCUUGGCUGGGUAUCAAAUGAAUCUUGGGCAUUGAUUUUUUAACGGACACUUCUUUGAAGCUGAGCCAAAGGCAUUUUUACAGUGGGGAGGUCAGACACAGUGGCUAAGUUUGAGUCAGUCUCUUCCUUAAAAGUUGAACAGGUAUAAGCUAGUUACAUGUGUACUCACGAUGCGUGUGAUGGGGGAAAUGGAAAUAUGGGAACAUCUUUCACAGUCUAGAUGAUUCAUGGAGCACUCCACUGAGCACUCUGGGAAGAAUGUUUACCUGCCUCUUACUGAAAAUGAAGCAGAGGAAUUCCUAGGGAACAAAUUGCUCUGAAUUGGGCCCGGCAGCCCUGGAGUAAUUAGGAAAAAAGAAUUACUGUUGUCCGUGAGGUGAUCAGACACCUGAGCAGGGCACCUUGGCAAUGCAGGGGACAUAUCAACAUCUAGGGCUAGAUUGGGGUAAUUUGAGGAUUAAGAAACAAUCGACCAAAGAAAACUUGGUGUGUCUUGCUUGGUCUCGUGGCUGCUGUGUGUUCCUCUGUUCUAGGGGUGUUCUGAAAUGGAGAAUCACCUUUUAGAGAUUCCGAGAUGGCUAGGACUUUGCAGCAGGGCUGUGCAUUUGGCUUCUGUAUGCAGUUGAGAUUUUCUCAUGCUGAACUUCUGGAAACAUGUCAUGCUUGACCAAGUGAUUCAAGGCUUUGAACAAUUCUCUCCUUGAUGUAUUUUGCAAUUGUAUUUGAAGAGUGGAUGUGCAUAAGAGAGCAAAAGAUGUGCUUGCCUAUGAAUGAAAAAUAAAUAAAUAAAAAGGAAAAGGAAGGACACAGUUGCUCCUUGGUAUGGCAGAGGAGGAAGUUUAUUAUAGAUAAAAGGGACAAUGUAGGUCCAGAUAGGGACAUCUGGGAGGAUCCAGAGAGAACACAAGCAAACUAAACUGGUCAGUUCAGGGAGAGGAGGAAGGGAAGUGAAGGAGAAGAUGGGAGUCAGGUUAGCAGCCAGGAGUCGUGUAACCAAAAUAUUUGGAUUAUAUAGGGAAGCGUCUCUGGCAGAAGGGCAGCCCAGCCCCUGGUCCUGUGAGCUCAGGGUCUAGGGUGGGGUAUGAGAGCCAUACCCUGUAACAGGUAGGGACUGAGGGAUGCUGGGAGAAACCAGAGGCCAGGUCUGCUUUGAUGUGUUAAAUAGACACCUCAGCCAUUUGUCCUCGGUUUGAAACAGAACAUCCUGUAAUCAUAUUUAUGACAGUACUGUUUGGUUCUGACUCAUUGACCUCCCCUUACACAGUACAUGUAUCUCUUUCUGCCAACAACACUAUCAAAGAGCCCAAAGAUGUGUCUCCUAGGUGGUUCCAAAUCCAGCCAUGUCACUCAAGAUUAACCUUUACACAGUGGAGCUGCCAUUUGUCCUAGUUUCACUCCUUUUCCUCAGAUAAAAUAUCCUGACAUAAAGCAACUUAGAGGAGAAAGGCUUUCAUUGAACCCACAGGUUUUUGUCAUCAUAGCAAAGGGUAAACAGCAGGAACCUGAACCAGCUUGUCACAUCCCAAUGGAAACCAAGACAGCUUCUUGGAAAGUUCCACCUGCUUGUCCCCAGUGAGAUGGGGUUAAGGUUAUUUGUUCAGUGGGAAUUCUGGCGGAGCAAACCCUAAGGGCCUGGUUGCCACCUGCCCCAUGGCUUCUGGAAGUGGUGUUCCUACUGAUGAGCAUCAGGCCUCCUGGGCUUAGCAGCUAAAGGCUUCAAAGACGGGUAUUGGCCAAAGACUUCAGAGAGAUGGGAUUGCCUGGGUAGCUGAAAAAAGCUGUCUCACUUCCUCUCAUUUACUUAUUCUAUCCAGAUCUGUCUGAUGGCAUUUGAUGACUUACGGUACUGGUAGCUCAUUAGUUUAUUAGUUAAGUUUCCUGCUAAAAAUACAGACAGGUGUGCCUCUUUCAUAGGCUUCAUAGUCCAGGAUAGCCAGGUUUCAGAUGUAACUUCAGAGGUUCAGAAGGUUUAAAUUUUCCUUUGUCUUCUAAAACUUUCAUGCCUUUUAAUCUAACGUCAUAGCCUUUUGCUUUGAUGCCAAGAUGUAAAUCUGUUCCAGGUUUCUUACAGACACCUGCAGGUUCCCGGGAGAAGUUCUGCUGCUGUAUCAAGAAAUAUGGUCUGGUGGAAACUAACAGUCUCCAGGGUCUAUUUUUUACCCCAUCAAUUUUUGAGCAUAUUUUACUGGUGAUGCACGCUGUCAAAGCCAAGGACAAACUGCAAAGGGUUCUUCAGAUAUGCCAGUGCCUGCUCCAUUUCCUGUGACUUCACCAUUGGUACCUGCUCUCAGACUCAAAUGGGCACCUACCCAGCAACUGGAAGUUGGUUCUAAAAGGCAUAUCUGCUUUCAUGUCUGGCUCAUUCUGUACAGCCUUGCCUCUUCCCUACAUCAAUGGUCUCUCAAGAAACAGAUGUCUAAGGUCUCCAGGAUGGCAGUUAAGCUGAUGUCCCUCCACCCAACCUUCUGCUGAGCGUGAGCCCAAUGACUCUCAACUCUCCCCCUCCCCACAUCGUCCCAUGCCAGCAGGAAGCAGCCAGACAUGAACCUGCGCCCUUGUACCCAGAGUCUGGGAUGUUCGGGUGGAAGCUUCACCUCAGCCCCUGGAAUCCAUAUAUCCAAAUCGUCUGGAAUGUUUGGGUGAAUCUCCCAAAGUUUGCUUGCCAGGAGUUGCCUCAGUCCAGACUCCGCCCCCAGAAAGUCUGCCUUCAGAGGCUUCAUCCCCAAGGAUAUUAAAAGCCUCCACAGUGUGGUUUCCUCUUGUGGUCUCUUCAACUUCCCCUGGGUCCACCCAGGAAUGCUGUGCUCAGAAUAAACCUGGAUUUAUUAA